GACGAACGCUGGCGGCGUGCCUAAUACAUGCAAGUCGAACGCAGUGGGGACGGGUGAGUAACACGUGGGUAACCUCCCAUCAGAGGGGAUAACACUUGGAAACCGGUGCUAAACCGAUACUGAUGGAUGGACCCGCGGUGCAUUAGCUCGUUGGGGAGGUAACGGCUCACCAAGGCCACGAUGCAUAGGCGAACUGAGAGGGGGAUCGGCCACACGGGGACUGAGUCACGGCCCAGACUCCUACGGGAGGCAGCAGGAGGGAAUCUUGGGCAAUGGACGAAAGUCUGACCGAGCAACGCCGCGUGAGUGAAGAAGGUUUUCGGAUCGUAAAACUCUGUUGUUAGAGAAGCGGGAAAGAAAGAGAAAGCCACGGCUAACUACGUGCCAGCAGACGCGGUAAUAG
rnacentral:rRNA from 1 species